UGACCUAGUCUUGAGCUCUGUGCAAUUAUAAAGUAUUAAUCAUUUAAAUUAUGUAUGUCUACUAAUGCCUAUAAUAUUGACAACUAGCUCAAUGACAGUCACGGAUAAACAUAUUGAUGUGAGAUAAUGUGAAAAUAAUUUGAUUCCACCUGCUUGUCUGGUGAUAAUCUUACUCUUUUUUAUGUGAGUGUUCACAUGUAAUUGGAAUCCUUCUUUUUUUGUAGGUACGGCUGUAUAAUAUAGGAUUUGUUUGUCUGGUUUAUUAGGUCAAGAAAGUUUGUGAUGGCUCUGGAGAAGAUCCAAUUUGCAGCAGAUUGGUAACUGGUAAUAGCCUCACGAACCAUUUACUCUACUAUGGUGCAAAAUUAAUGGCGGAGACGUGGGGAUCGUGCAAAAUUGUCAUGGACCCACGAUUCAAGGAAUAUGGAAGCGAAGACAAAGGAUACCUUAUGCUUUCCAGGAAUCCUUCUUCUUCUGCAUUGAGGCUGCGUUAAGACUCCGAUGCCAAGAGUAACUUAACGUAAAAUGCUCCCAAGUCAGCACCUAAUUUCGUGAAGAUCAUUAGGUAACUCUGGAUGAAGUUUGUUCAUGUAAUGCAUUCCAUCAAUCUGUUUCCAUGUCCAUCACAAGAUGCAUAGGAUCUCUACUAAAAUUCACUUGGAAUGUAAAUAGCAUGAAGUUGAAUGUAUCAUCCUUGUAAACACAACUUUGUGGUACAUAUUGAAUGAAUGCGCUCGGAAGUUUACCUGUCAA